rnacentral:antisense_RNA from 1 species
UAGUCGCGGCGGAGCCGCCACAGGUGCCCGCCGCUCAUUCGCCCCCGUCCGGGGGU